rnacentral:miRNA from 3 species
CGAGCCUCAAGCAAGGGACUUCA